rnacentral:rRNA from 1 species
UACGUAGGGGGCAAGCGUUGUCCGGAUUUAUUGGGCGUAAAGAGCGUGUAGGCGGCUGGGCAGGUCCGUUGUGAAAACUCGAGGCUCAACCUCGAGACGCCGAUGGAAACCCUCCAGCUAGAGUCCGGAAGAGGAGAGUGGAAUUCCUGGUGUAGCGGUGAAAUGCGCAGAUAUCAGGAAGAACACCGGUGGCGAAGGCGGGUCUCUGGGCCGAAACUGACGCUGAGGAGCGAAAGCGUGGGGAGCAAACAGG